GGACUACAGGGGUAUCUAAUCCCGUUCGCUCCCCCAGCUUUCGCGUCUCAGCGUCAGGGAUGGCCCAGGUGACCGCUUUCGCCACUGGCGUUCCUCCCGAUAUCUACGCAUUUCACCGCUACACCGGGAAUUCCAUCACCCUCUGCCACCCUCAAGCCCGCCAGUCUGACACGACGUCCUGCGGUUGAGCCGCAGGCUUUCACGCGCCACUUAACAGGCCACCUACACGCUCUUUACGCCCAGUAAAUCCGGACAACGCUCGCCCCCUACGUCUUACCGCGGCUGCUGGCAC
rnacentral:rRNA from 1 species